GUGAGGAAUAUUGGACAAUGGGUGAGAGCCUGAUCCAGCCAUCCCGCGUGAAGGACGACGGCCCUAUGGGUUGUAAACUUCUUUUGUAUAGGGAUAAACCUUUCCACGUGUGGAAAGCUGAAGGUACUAUACGAAUAAGCACCGGCUAACUCCGUGCCAGCAGCCGCGGUAAUACGGAGGGUGCAAGCGUUAUCCGGAUUUAUUGGGUUUAAAGGGUCCGUAGGCGGAUCUGUAAGUCAGUGGUGAAAUCUCAUAGCUUAACUAUGAAACUGCCAUUGAUACUGCAGGUCUUGAGUAAAGUAGAAGUGGCUGGAAUAAGUAGUGUAGCGGUGAAAUGCAUAGAUAUUACUUAGAACACCAAUUGCGAAGGCAGGUCACUAUGUUUUAACUGACGCUGAUGGACGAAAGCGUGGGGAGCGAACAGGAUUAGAAACCCUAGUAGUCC
rnacentral:rRNA from 1 species